UACCUCUCUCGUCCACCCUUUCGAUCUUCUCCUUUUAUCUCGUGACUCUCUUCCCUCUUGGUUCGCCACCCUCCGCUACCCCUCCGUUUCUUCUUUCCCAACCGACCCUCUAUGUAUAUAUCCGAUCCCUUGCCCUCCCUCGAGUUGGCAUCUUCUCUCGCCCUGCGUAGCGUCUACGCUUCUCCCAGCGUUUGUUAGUUCGCUCGCACUCGCGCGAGCCAGCCGCGACGCGACGCGUCCCGGGCGUUCUCAGCUUUUCCACCCUCGAAGCGCGCACGCGCGGCUGCAACCCCGGGGAUGUCCUCCUUUCUCUCGCUGCGGGACUUUCUUUCUGUCUUUUUCGCUCCUGCAGCUUCGAAAGAUAGAACGAGAUCGAACGAACGUUGGACAAAGAGGCGAGGCCGGAUCGAUAGAGCGGAGUCUGCGUCUCCAAUCCGCGCGUAUAUACCCGUGUACUUUAUUAUCAUGCGGUGCACCCGGUAUAUUCCCCGGAUACACGGUACUCCGAUGCGAACCGCGCCCGUUUUUCAGCCGGGAACGACAACCCCUCUGACAGAACAUGUCGGCCAGCCUGCCGGAAACCACCGCGUCACCGGAAGGAUACCGCCGCGCGCUGGGGGAAUUUGCCUGCAACGAAAAUCGAGGAAGGGGACAAUCUCCGCUAGAAGAUGCAACAACAGUUAAAUAGCACAGUGAAUACCUGCAUUAAGUGUACAAAACACUAGAUAAAUACAGGAAAGCCUUUGAAAUUCUUGCGGUACUUGACAAAUUUUACGCGAGACUGGGAAAUCGAUUUUGCGUGGAGGGGAUCGAGGCAAUUCAACAUUCCAAUUACACGGACUCGGACUUGUCGGCUGACGAAAACUUAAUUGCGAUCGCGCACCACUGAAACAGGACCAAAGAGCUGCGUGAAAUCGUCUGAUCGGGACCAGAGGCUCUGCAGACGUAAUUCCACCUCCGUUUUCGAUUCUUUCGCACGGAAGUAAUAACCUCGUCUCACGGGAGCGUAGCGAGCGCGUGAUUCCGUGUAAGAAAGUUUCCCUCGGUUCACCUAGAUAAUUUUCUCGUAUCCAAAUUGAUGGAUCGGCUUGGCAACUACGAUCGGACGAGGACCGAAGUUGCGAAUCUUUCGAAUUCAAAGUUUCUUGACUCCUGAACUUUGCUUCUCGUUGGCGUUUAUUUUUUUAUUUUCAAUACCCGCGAGCAAUGUUUCAUAAAAAUUCGCGAUCUAAUCACAACAUCUCGUGGAUUGUAAUCUCCGUCUCCUUUAACACUAGAACUACCACACCAAUUAAAUUGACUGGUUUUACAAUUUUAUUUUAAAAUUCCUACUUCGUGUUAUAUCUUUUUCCGCGAUGAUGUAAUACUUUCGCAACGAUAACUAAAAGAAUAAUACGAUGAAUUUUCUUUUCUUUUCUAUGUAUUCAAACUCAAAAUAAUUUUGUAUCCAGGCUACUUAUAUCAAUAUCAGUCAAAACGACUGGUAUUGGUAUAAAUGUAAAAGGGUCCUGCAAUGUGUUUAUCGAAGCCCAAUUAACCAAUUUCCUCGUUUUGUAUAACUUCCCACACGGUUUUAAAAUUUUUACUGCGUAGCAUUCGAUAUGAUGAUAUCAGUUAUCAGGAAAAUUCCGGAUCGAUCGCUAGAUCGCUAGAUGCUAACAUUAAAAAUACCACAGCGGUCGAAAUGACUGGUUCUACAAUUUUUAAAAAUGUGCCAACCCUCGUUUAGGAAUGACGGUCCCAAAUGGAUUAAUAAUACCAAAAAUGUACUACAUAACAUGGAAUUCCUUCUGUAAGAAAGUAAUAAAUCAAUAAAUAUAAAAAAUUCUAUUAUUACGUAUUUUUUAAAGAUCAGUCAUUUUAAUGACUGUAUAUAAGUAGCCUUGAUACAAAAUUAUUUUGAGUUUGAAUAUUUUGAGUUUGGUAGAAAUAGCUUCGUGUUAAUUAUCUAAUGUAGUUCUAAUGUUAAAAUAAAAAGUUGAACAGAAAGAUGUUAUCUAAUAUUCCUCAACUACUAUUUCAUACGUGUACGACUAUCUCCCUGCCUUUCGUAUUUUCAAUUACGUCAGGCUCUAUAUUAUGUUGACCAAACUAUAACAUUCGUCCUACAUUCCGUAGCUUCCUUGAUUUCCUCAAGAUCUCGUCCGAUCAAUCAACGGAUACUAGGAGCAAUCAGAGAAACUGUAUGGGCAUUCGUGCGCGAAUAGAUUCCUAGUGAGGCACAAUAUGCGCACACAGGCCAUCGUGCACGCUGACCCAACACGUUUUAACGACGAUCGAUCCUGUGUAUAGAUCGCGGCCUGCAGUCGAAUAUUCGGUUCACCAGAGACACGCUGUGAGAUCAAUGCUGCUUGUGAUUCAGGGACACAAUUAUUCGAAUUAGAGAUUGGCCGUGCUGUUUGCGUCAAACAUGCUAUUAAGUAUCCUCGAAUGGCGACUCGACACGGCAAUCGAGUGAUCCAUUCGAUCGGCAUUGUAUAUAGUCAAACGACUCUGCUAAGGCGUACGAAGCGUUCUAACCGAUAGAAUAAAAUCGAUCAAAAACAGAAUCGUGGUUCGAUCGCAGAAUUUUGAUAGUAAAAUCCAUGUUAUAUAUUCCUUAAUUGCAAUGAAAUACGGGCACGUAACUAGAACCGCUUCUGUAGCAUCACAGGCAAUAACUGUGUCGAGAAAUUGGUUCGGACGAAUGUCAUGUGGUCCAGAAAGGGCCAUAUAACGCGCCAAUUCUCUUCAAAGUUAUUACUUGUAAAGUUAUCGAAGUAGUUCUAGCUACGCGUCACUCUGACUAUCGAGAGUAUAGCGAUUAGAUUUUUAAAAUCUUACGUGGAGAGCACUGUCUUUGUAUCGGAAUUUCGCUUUGAUCUCGAAGACUUUCUUCGUUCUUCCACAAAAAGAUCUCGAUCGGAUCGAUAAACGUUAAACGUAUCGACUCUUACACAGCUUACCGAUCGUCGCCAAAUUUCCUCGUGAUUCUUACUUCUCCUCAGCGACGCUUCUCGCUCACCGUUAUUCUUCUACCGCUUUUUCCAUACAUAUCUCGUCACAACUAAGAAACGUCUUCGCAGUUGCACUAAUCAUCGAUCUUGUCAAAAUGAUCGAACGAGAAAGCGGUUCGUUAAAGAGGGAAAACGACGGAUAGAGAGGAAGAAGUUGACGGAGAAGGAAUUAAGGUUCGAACGAUCGAUCGAGACAAAGUCGAUAGAAUUAGAAGGAUUAAUCGAUAGAGGACUGUGGGUAGGGGCAGGGGGGUAUAGUAAUUUAUAUCGGGCUUGCACCUUAAUAAUGGCGUCUCCUCGAUUUUGCACGACCAAUCGAUCAUCGAUAAUUGGUUGCCGCUCGAUCGACACCGCUCGUCUACCGACGAUUAACUUUUUUAUUUCUUCCGCGACCGCGUUUCUAUUCGAGUUAAACGCUCGAACGGCUUCGCCUGCCGGCCUAUUAACGAGAAUCGAACUCAAGGCGCGCUUCCAUUGUCCUCCCGUUGACGUUAAGACCGGGGAGGAUCGCUGGAAAGGUCGAGGGCCUCGUAGUUCGUCGACGUCGCAGCUGCUUCAACAGUUGCACGGAAACUUGUAAGAAAUUUUCAAAGAAAAAAUGUCCUUCCUCUUUCUCUUUCCUUUCUAGAAAGUAAUUUAUAAAAGAAAAAAAAAUGAUACCUAUAAACUGGACAGAUAAGGAGAUCGUUUAGAGGUUGAUACACGUUCGUAUUACGCUCGUUGACAUUCGUUCGUGGAACCACCGGAACGUUCGACCAAUUUUUACAAUUCUCGAUUAGGUUGACACGCGGUAUCACGUAUUUAUCGCGUGUCAACGUUUGAUGGAUACGGAUCUAUUUUUAAUACGAAACGUAUCUAUGCAGGACGAAAACGAAUAUAGAACGGAUAGUUCACCUGGCCAGACGUACAGCUUUCUCACGAUUCGGAUAUGCAUAUCUAUAUACAGGGUGGUUCACAAGUUAGGCAAACUCGGCUCCAGGCGAACCAUCAAAUUCUUGCCACGUUAAAGUGCAAUUUAUGGCAGCUGGUUUCACGCGUGAUAAAAUUUCGAUGGUCGGCCAAAAUUGUUGACGAUCCUAACAAAAUAUUUUCUACAAAUAUCCGAAUGGCCUGUCUGAAACAAACGGUGGUUACGAAAGUAAAGUGUCAUUAAAAUCAGAAGAGUUGAACGUUGAUUUCUUAGAAACGUUUGACCCAGUUUUUUUCAAUCGUCCAGUAGCCACGUGUAUCGAGAGAACGACUCGCGGGGAGCUUACUUUUCGUCAAAGUUGUCUCGUAGGAAGGCGAAUUGAUUAUCGAUUUUCGUUUAUCGAGCCUGGUCAUGCGCGAAUCUUCAUUCGUCUUCCGUCAACGGACUUCCGGUCGAAACGCGCGUCACGUGGGCCCGAUUGCCAGCUACGUUCGAUUCGACGAAGCUCACCCGUGCCGUGGGAUGUUCGCAAAUACUCGACACAUUCCAAUGAGGACGCCGAUUUCAUUGAAUCGGAGACAAUGAACCGGCGCUUGAUUUACCCUUCGAUCUUCAAAUUAAACGCCGCGUUGAGAAAUUACGAUCGCAGACGAAGAUCGCACGAGCGUUUAUCACUCGGACAAUUUUAACCGUUUUAAACGAGGAAACAAAUAUUCAAUCCUGAAAUUUCACCGGAUAUUUUAAGGUUACCGAUAAAAUAGUAAAAGGAAAUAUACCAUUGUCGAUUACGGAAGUACUAUAAGCAUUUAAAAUACCUUCGAAUCCAUCACGCGACUCAAACUUUCCCAAUCGAGUAAAAACAAUAGUUGGAAACUUGGAAGAAAAUACGUGUCCCAAACACGUCGACCGCUGGUUUGAAGAAGCGCGAAUGCUCAUCAAGGGUCCCCUGCGACAGACAAUGCUCGUUUCAACUUUGACAACGUUUUCUUAACCUUCCUCGUUCCUGAUGGCGUUGAAACUCGGUCGACGCUGGAAAGGGGUCGCCAUUGGCCCUCAAUUCCCCGCGAAAACGUCGCAAUUCGCGACAUCAACGCCCUUCGAGAAAUUUCCACCCUAUCCGCGCCACGUCGAUCGGAGUAAAUCCACCGAUGAUUUCAUUAUUGCCGCGAUUCACGUUAACUCUGCUUCGACGUUGAGGCUUGGCGAUGAUCGUCGAAUCGACAGGAGCUAUUCCCAAAGGAUUUACGACUGUUUGUUUUUAGAAUCGUUUGCAUAGAUGAUAGCGAGCGUUACCGAAUCAUAGCUGUCGAAAGUGUCGGAAUAUCGAAAUAUCAUGUUCCUUCGUGGAACAGAAAGAGCGUUUAAAAUCCUUGCACGCUUCUUUUCAUUGUGGAAAGUGCGCGUUUGGCGAUGAUAGAAAACGAAUCGUAGAUCCGUGAAAAGGGAAACUUGCCAGGCUGUGUACUUAAUGCAUAAUUCAUUGGCUGCUGCUUCAACUUCCAUUGAUUUGCCGAGGUGGCAGGGUCGCGACCGAAUGAAACUGGGUUGCAAAGUCGCAGAAUCGCCGAGAGCAACCGCGGCGAUGAUUCUCCUGUGGUCGCGCACCCACCUCCCCGGAAACAAAAACGACCGACCGCGAUAUAUCGUGGCACUCUGAGAAGUGGCAUUCGCGAAACAUCUGCCGUCGCUACGAAUUUAAUCUUCUGUGGCUGGCAAACGUAAACGAGAAACGCUCGGGACAGUUUAAGCCCCAGCUUUACGUCUGUCUAUUAACUUGUUUCCCUUUAUUCUUCCUGCGUCGCAGCAAAACUUCCGAAGCUAAAGUUCUCGGUCGAAUUUUUCAACGGAAUUUCUUUUGUAUCGAGAAUUUACGUUUACGGCGUAUUCUGCGAUGACACGGUUCGCGGAUAUCGCGUCGGAGACUUUGUACUUCCGCUCCAUCUCACCAAAAGCUGCCAUUCUUGCGUAUCUGGCAUACGCCCUUUGGUAUCGUUCGAUAUUCCAGAUAUUUGAAGAUCGCUUUCGUUCCACGACAUUUACAAAAUACAUAUUAUAUUUCGUUGUAUCCUCGGUCGUGAUUUUCUUUCUAUGCUUGUAACACUUUCCUUGCUUCGCUAUAACGUCAUUCGUUGUUCGUUUUAUUGGUGGAAUAUUUCUCAAGGUCCUUGCGUUGUUAUUUUCACAAUUGAAAUCCCCUGUGAAUGUCCCAAAGCUGUGUGCUCUCAUCGCUGAAAUUUCUUUCCGCCGUUCUAGUGCCAUUUUCUCGUUUGCCGUUGGAAUUUUUCCACGCCCUUGCAUCUCUUUCUUUCUUUCCUUCUUCCUUAUUAAUGGAAUUUCAUUUCUAAUGCUCUUGCCCUGCUUUGCUUUUUAUCGCCGGAAUUCCUCCAUUUUCUUGGAGGAUUGGCGUCCCUCGUUACUACGAAGUAUCUGGCUAUGACCGCUUCUCCAAAUUGCGAAACACCCAGCUUCGUCGAUUACAGUGUACCACGGAAAAGUAUGGUCGAAGGGAAGUAUCGUGUGUCGAGCGAUAAAUCACUUCGCGGCACUGAGAUCCACGGUGCACACGAAAGUAGCUGGAACUAUCAGGAGCACGCCACACGCGUGCUCGGCAAUCAGUCAGUCGACAGAAAUGAUUCUCGAGGAAGUGACCAUUAGUAACGACCGCUGGUUGACCACAAGAUAGACCCAUACAUGGCAGGUACUUAACUAAAUAAUAGCUAGAAGCGUAUAGAAUAGGUCUGGACAGCUCGAUACUUGUUGCAAUCGAAGACAACCGAGUCGAUUAGAAUUCUAACGAAAAGUGCCGUUUCUAGCCGAGCUUUCACAGAACUCGGACGUCGUCGCGAUCGACGUGAAUCGUAGAAAAGAGAGAUUUACUGCCGAAGGAGAUUUCGUAUAAUCUGUCGUACGAUAGAUCAUUUUAUAUCGUUCGAGUAGAAUAAGAAUGGCAGAGGAUUAGAACGCUACCUGCAAAGGCGAUCGAAAAAUUUCGAAAGAAUCCACAAGUCCAGCUGUGGCUACUCGUUUGCACAUGAAAUUAUCGCGAGUCAAACGGAUUUAAAUCGUAACUCGUCGAAACAUAGGGUACUUGGUUAGAUGCCCGUGGAGAUCGGUAAACCUGCGUUCAUUCGGGAACAUAUUAAUGUCUGAAGUUAUUAGAUAGCGUCUGCUGGUCUGAAAUACCAUGUUACACGCUGUCACUUGAUCACAGCGUGGUCCGCUUUGUGAGGCAAACAACGCAGAUGAAAAUUGAUAUCGAAAUGAAAUAGGAAAAAAUUCUUCUGCCAGUUACAAGAAGCGAUAUUAUCAUUUAAAUUUAUAUUUCAAAUUUUCAAAUCAGAUUUGAACGAACUAAGAUUAGAAGGAUGUAAAUUUCUCUGUACCCUUCGUUUCCUAUAUUCUGCCAAUUUCAUUUCAUCGACUUUCCAUCUCAUUUUCCCGUCGAGUAUCCACUCAUUUUCCACCUAUGUUCCAACCGCGGCUAAAGUAUUCCCCAAGGUCGUUUCGCUCAGCUAAUCAGAGCAUUCUUCCGAGGCACGAGAGCGGAGAGUACAGAGACAAUCGCGAAACGCGGCGUCUUUAAGAGCGCGUCGUGCACCACCCUUGUUCUCCGCACCCUUUUGAUUCCUGCGAGAACAGUAAGGCUAACGAGUAGCGCUCUUGAGGCCGAGCUAACUCGUUAUCCCUUCAACGUGACAACUUUCGGUGACACAGGCGACACGAUAUAAAUGAGAAUAAAAAGAUCUCGGCGAAGAGGAUUCUUUUUCAGCAACGGGACGUGAAACGAGAACGUUGCGUUUUCUUUCAGACGGACUUUUAAUUUACGAUUAUCGAGAAUCGAGGAAAGGAAAAUUUUGCAAAUUUUCCCAACAAAACGAUCGAGCCUGGGGAAUUUCGGUAUUUUUUUAAUUUACAAACAUGCUUCCGAUUCAAAUCUCAGCUUGUAAAUUAUACUUACGAAACUCCGGCUGACAGAAGAUCGCUUAGUUGCCAGCCCAAUAGCAUCACGCGAUACAUGAAAGUGAAAUUAUAGUGAAUUAUAGCGAUAGUGAAAUUAUAAUAUCUGAGGAUCCAACAGAUCGAGGUACAAAUUACUAAACGCGCACCGAUCGCGAAAACGCAGUUUAAAAGUAGAGAUUUAGAGGUUGACAGAUUUAGAGGUAACAAUCAAAGCGUUUUCCAAAUUUUUCUAAGACCAACCACGGUUUACCAUAGACAAAAUUACGCGCACAAAGCGAACCCGAGAAGAAAGAAAAAUGGAGAUAAAAAGUAACAAGAGCAGGUGCGACCGACAUCGGUACAAGAUCUGUACGUAGCUCUAUCGAUCGACGGUCGUCAAUUAGACGCGCAAUGGAAAAUUGGUUAAGAAUAGCCUGACAAUGGAGGAGAAUAGCACGAGGACGAGGGAAACGUGGAAACGGGAAAGCAAAUGCGCGGAGAAAGAUGGAGGAAAAAGGAGGUGAACAAAGAGAAAGUCGACGCUCGAAGAGCUCGUCCGCGCGAAGAAAAGCUGCACGCUUAUAAAUAGCUCAUUAACAGAAAAGCGAGCUAUUACCGCACCGAGCCGGUAUCACGAUUACGCACACGUCGUUGUAAAAACGGUUCGUCGUGCUUUGAAGGAUAGAUGAUUCACCGGAAGAGUACAAUGGAGAAGAGCAACAAUGGAAAUUUUUAGAGAGCAAUUUAAAAAAUUCACCGCGUUCUUUUGCCGAGAUCGGCCGGAUAAAUCGGAUACGCGAGGAGAAAUUGAAGCAACAAUUAUCGGAAAAUGUAUUUCGAUGGAAAGGACCGUAUCUAGCUUCGACGAAAGCGAAAUCCCACGUGAAUCUUUUAUCGUUCUUUUUAAUAAACUUCUUUCUAACUAUUCUGUUGUUUGCUAUUUCCGUGGUUCUUACUUUAUCACCUUUUUAUUACCCUCUUUCCUUUAACUUUUAUCUUUAUCCCUCUCCUUAAUCUGUCUAACCUCUUUUUGCGUAUUUAUGUAAACAUGACAGAUCCAUAGGUGGAAUAAAUAAAUAAAUCCUCCAAUUUAUCUUCAUAAACAGCGUUUCUCCUCGUUAGAAAUUCUUGUCACCGUUAGCAUCUUCGAUAGCCACUUCGCACGAUAUGCCCUUCGAUCGAAGGCUUUUUACGACACUCUUGAAAAUUCGCUCUCGAUCGAGAGAACGUUCUGCCAGUGUCGUGGAUCGAGAGAAAAUAUUCCGAAGCGUUGAACGAACUUCCGGUUCAACGAUCCCCGUUAAUCGGUUAUUAUUGAAAAAAAAUCCGGCUGACCCCGGGAAACUCUGUCCAUGAAUCUGUUUGGCGGAAAGUUAGAGAGACAAGGGGUGGAAAGUGUCGCUAAAGUGCACUCCAGCCAAGACUCGCGACUAUAACGUAGCAAAACGAGGAAGAAAUUGAAUUCGAAAGGAGAUGGUGGAGAUUGCCUUCUAGAUUUCUUUGCCUGUUCUCUUUUUUUCCUCCUCUUCUCACCCUCUUCUCGUAUCUUCCCUUAUUCGCCUCGCGGUUGAUCGAAAUUUCCGCUUGAUUCGCAAGCAUUUUCCUCGUACGCGCCAUCCUCCACCGAAAUUACUCUGAUCUCGAGACCGAAUUUUCGACCAACAAGCGUACAUUCUACGAAAUCACUUGAAAUUUCGCUUGGCAGCAGAUAUUUUCCGAGUACCAUUACACGUAGAUUAUUACAGAUUCUACCAAGUUGCAAAGAUUCGGCUACAUCCUCUAUAGUUUCGUAUUGGACACUGGUUUCUAGAAAGAAGCGUUGUAAUGGCGUGACAUCAGGUUUCAAGCGGAAAUAAUUCGUCGUUACUUGGAACCACGAGAUCGAGCAAACCAGUGGCGGACAACUUGCGUACGGGGGAAAUUAAUUAGCCCGAAAAUUAGUUCUAGAGCCAUUGGAUACAAUGAGCCAAGCGCAACGAGGCCGCCAUAAAUUACUCGAGCGCGUGCUAAAGAGAAGCGACUUCGGCUCCUAUAAACUAUGCAACGUCAUCAAACGCGUGUAAACAGGAUUUACUAAAAUUCCAACACGAAUCUAUGCUCUACAAUUAACUAUACAAUUCAAUGAACCACGUUAUCUCGCGUAACGUCGUCAUUCUACGCAGGCAUUACGCUAUCGUUGGAAUAUACCUGCAGAAUACAAGGAGAAUCGAGGUAUCUGGAAAAUAUUCGACGAGCGAAAAAUACUGGAAUAUUUCACGAUUGCCGUAUAUUGGAACCUGAUUGGUUCAAUUUGUCAAUUUGUUGGCCCGACGAGACCGAAAUAACCAAUCCCUUGCAACCUGGUGAAUGCUGCCCCGGAUAUUGCCGUGAUAAUGGAACAGAUCUUCGCCGAAUUCUCAUGGAAAACUUAGAACCUUGAACUACUUUUACCUCGAAGCAACUUAUAGGCGGUGAAACGUCUGCAAACUGUUCUCCAAUCGUACGGCCCUGAAUUGAUUUCUAGUCGUUAAUAUAAUUAUUGAAUUGAUAACUAUUCGUUAAUAUAAUUAUUCCGAUAACGUUUCAUCGUGACGCUAUUAAUCACUGAAGCGAUAUUACUAAGGUGACGAAGCGUUUACCGUUUAUACUUUUUCAUCGGAUACGAAUGAUUUAUCGAGAAAGUUUCCCAAGGGAAGAACGCGACGUGGGAAUACCAUUUACGGCAGGGAAAAAUUGUUUUUCAUGUUCAAAGAGUCGAUUCAUAAAUUCGUACGAAUGGUACACGGUUUAUUGCGUAUAGUUCUUGAAACUAAAUGAUAAAUGAACGACGAUUUCGCGAUCGUUUCCAUACUUCCACAGCCAAUUUCCUCGGGGUAAAAGUAAAAAAACGGUACAACUAUCGAAAAGGAAUGAUUACAUUGGCAUGGAAGGAGCAGAUAAAUCGAUAGAUUGCAAAGAAGGAAACACGAAGUACGAGAUGAUAAAAUCGUACAGUCUAUUUACGAAUCGUCGAUAUCCUGCAAGGAUGUUCGUUCGCAACCGUUUCCGGACAGAUCGAGAGAUCGAAGAGGCCUUUUUAAAGGGUAUAUCGAGCUAAUUCGUGGCCUCGUGCUGGCACAAGGUCAGGAAAAUCAAUAGAACACAAACAACGGUGUAACGAUGCCGCGGUCUGAUAGCGGCCGUGGCAUGGCGGCACGACAUUCCAUUUUGCGGCUUAUCGCGUGAGUUCCGUAAGGUCAGUGACAAAACGAGCCGUGUACCUGUUACCACGAUGCAAAGCUUUUUCCUUGAGAUUCGCAUAAAUCGUCCACUUCCAUCCCGUCGGUCGUCCACUUUUACGAGACGUACUUUGGAAAAAUAACGCGUCGUUGCAAGAAAACGAAUAUCAAGUAGAGAAUACCGGGAUGUCAAGGGGAACGAAAGCUUUUCGUACAAGUAGAAGACGAGAUGUCACGCGAACCGAUUUUCAUGGACCCAAUUUAUUUGCGCAUCCUUUCGUUGCAUCGCUUCACGUUACACGUCACAUAUUUCGUGACUAUGUGUUAUUUCUUCUUUCUUCGUGUUCUUUAUUUUCUCUACGGUAAAUAGUCGUUGUUCUGUCUCAUUUAUUUCAUCGCGGAAGGAACAGCGGCGCGAUAGAGCCUGUUUUACGAGACUCGUUCUUCUCUCGAUCAGAACAAUAUUUUUCUCUCUUCGUGAAAGCAAUCUCGAUGCAACGAUUCGUAAAAGAAAUAGAUACUUUAAUGUCGAUGAAUCGUACGAGAUAUUCUUUACAUCGUUUCAUACCGGUUUACGUACGAACCACGUACACACUGAUAUUCGCGUAAAAUUUGAUCGAUACAACCUACGUCAUCCACGUAUCAGUCGUAAUCUGAACAGUAUUAAACUUUUGCGUGUAUUGUCCCGUGAUGUAACCAAUUUCAGUACAUAGGUAUUAUCGGAUAGAGAACAAGCGUAUCAGAGUCAAAUACAGUGGGAGCCAAGGUGUCGAAUAAAUAAAUUCGGGUCGCGAUAUAUUGGAUUGGCAACUAAGUGAUUGCGGAUUUUUUCAUUAGAUGGUAUUGACAAAAUCCGCGAUCACUUAGUUGCCGACCCAAUAUUUUAUUUCGUUGACCAAUUUCUCCGGAAAUAUUCGUGGAUACGCUGAACACCUCGAUGAAAUAAUCCAAGCGAAUAAUACAAAGCGAACGUUAAUUGUUACUCGAGAAACUGUUUCAAUUUGCGAGAUCUCUAAAACCUCUAGAUCUUCCUAGUUUACUUGUAAGUCACUGUAUGAAGUUCUUCGUGCGACUGUCGAAGAUUAAUUAGCUUUUCUCUGCCUUUGUAUAUUUACUUAAUGCAGAAACGCGAUAACCACGAACUUGUAAACGAGCGAAAAAUGCGACCAGACGAUUCCACGAACGAGCGAAUGAAUAAUUCCUCGAGACAGUUUAAUAAAUUUUAGAUCAGCUAAAGACCGGCAGACGAGUCUGUUAGAGCAAUGACAGCGCAACUUGAUCGAUGACGUUCCUUAUCGUUGGCUGUUUAAAGGUUAAUGCGAGAGAAGUAAUAGAUCGGUCACGCGACGAUUAGCUCGUGAAACAAACAGUACGAGAAACUGUCUCUUAUGAUUAAUAUACCUCUACAUCUGGAGCUCAACUUUCCCAGUACUUGUUUGAAAAGUUGAAUAUUUCAGUCGCUCCAAGAUAGUCCAAUUUCAUUUGCAAAUGUCUCCGAACCAAUUGUCCACGAACGGUCACGGUCAUCUCGUUAUAUGCGACGAUAGAAAGUUUCGUCGACGAACCGUUUCUUCGGGACGAGAUCGUCCCCGCUCGCUUUCACGGAAUUUAAUUUCGUCGUUUUAUCCCGAUGACAACAGGCCGUUUCGAUGACAGCGUAAAACGGCUGCGAAAGUGUUCCCGCUCGGCGGAAUCGCGACAACUCUGCCGUGAAAUUCCGACCAUUUGCCAAAUACUUGCAGCAUUCCUGAUCUCCUCGACAGACUGCUGCCAACGGAUGUCAAGGAGCUCGUUUAAAGACAGAUCGCCAUAGAAAUCGCUAGUUCCUUUGAAACUUUCAAAGCUGCUAGAUAAUUCUUCCUUUUCCCUUCUCGCGGAGAAAGUCUUUGCGGAACAAUUUAGUACUAUCGUCCUCCUUUGGCGCCACGUUCCGAGGAAUUAUUGGAAAAGGAGAAUUUCUUCGGUCAGAUCGCCAUUUCAGUGUCAAUAACUAUUUCUUCAUAUCCUACCUCGAACGAAUCUCCAAGAAUCUCCAAGAAAUCUCUAGUUUCGUUCAUCGUCGAACGAAACUCGAUUCGUUUUCAUUGCCUCGUAAUAGCCUAAUACAUCAUAGUGGCCGUUUAUUGGAUCGCAAAUGUCCACGCGCACGGCGUUAGGUUUCGACUGCUCCACGUUAUAUAAUUGGUAGGAUCGCAUUCGCGGUUCACCGUCGAUCGCAGCUGGCCACCGUAACUGUGAUUAAUUAAUUCGAGCCUCGCUCGUCAAUGUUUAUUGCCUCGUUUCCCGCCAUACUCUCUCGUGCUGGAUUUCUACGAGACCGGUAUCAAAGCGACCGCCGAUCAAAUUCAAUUCUCCGUUUGAUCUUUCCAACUCUGGGCUACCUGUGCCACGUUUCCGUGAACGCGUCUCGCAGGUAAUUACAGGUCGCAAGCUGAAUCUAAUCAAUUU